rnacentral:tRNA from 1 species
GGGUGAUAGAUCAGUGGCAGAUCGUCAGCGGCCGGCCGUCAAACGGAUAAGCUGAGACGCCGGGUUCGAUUCCCGGCUCACCCG